AUGCUUUCCAGUAGCACCGAGCCGAUAGUAGCAGAUGAUUGGCUCCGUAAGAUAGGGAGGGAGUUGACCACUGCAGGAUGCACAGAUGGAGAAAAGGUGAAGUUUGCCGCACAUCAGCUUGACGGACCCGCAACAGCAUGGUGGGAGAAUUUUACAGCCACUUACCCUGUAGACACUGUCACAUGGAAUCAGUUUCAGCAAGCUUUUCGUACUGCCCAUGUUUCAGCAGGAGCUAUGCCCAUGAAGAAGCGUGAGUUUCGCAACUUACGCCAAGGAGGACGGACAGUUGGCCAGUAUGUGGAUGAUUUUAGUAAGCUAGCACGUUAUGCCCUAGAUGACGUUGCUACGGAUGCAACUAAGCAGGAGAAAUUUCUAGAAGAACUGAAUGAUGAGAUGAGCAUGCAGUUGAUGGUAGCCACUUUCAAUAACUACCAGGAGUUAGUAGAUCAUGCUCUUAUGAUUGAAGGGAAGCAGCAGCAGAUUGACAAUCGUAAGAGAAAGUAUGCACAGGGGAAGAACAAUUCUGGAGCUCAGCAGAAGCCACGCUUUACCCCAAAGUCAGGAGGACACUUUCAGCAUACUCAUGGAGGAGGCAGCUCACACAAUCAUAAUGGCACAAAGAAUGGAAACGGGAAUGUAGGAAGCAAUGGACAAAGCCGCACCAACCCGUCCACACCAUCCAAGGUAGUCCUGAGUCAUAUCACUUGUUAUAAGUGCCGUAAGACGGGGCAUUAUGCAAAUGACUUCCCAGAAGCCCAAAAUGGUAAUGGCAAUGGAAGCUCAGGAAAGAAGCCGAACCCUUUCAACAGGGGGCAAGUGAACCACGUUACCGUGGAGGAGGUUGAAGCUCAGCUAGACACAGUAAUAGGUAAGUUUUUGGUUAAGGCAUUUACUGCAGUUAUUCUUUUCGAUACUGGUGCAUCGCAUUCAUACAUAUCAAGGGGAUUUGUGGAUAAUUUGGCCUGCCCACUAAGACUCUUAAGACACCCAUGCUAG
rnacentral:rRNA from 1 species